rnacentral:rRNA from 1 species
GAUGAACGCUAGCUACAGGCUUAACACAUGCAAGUCGAGGGGCAUCAGGAAGAAAGCUUGCUUUCUUUGCUGGCGACCGGCGCACGGGUGAGUAACACGUAUCCAACCUGCCCUUUACUCGGGGAUAGCCUUUCGAAAGAAAGAUUAAUACCCGAUGGCAUAAUGAUUCCGCAUGGUUUCAUUAUUAAAGGAUUCCGGUAAAGGAUGGGGAUGCGUUCCAUUAGGUUGUUGGUGAGGUAACGGCUCACCAAGCCUUCGAUGGAUAGGGGUUCUGAGAGGAAGGUCCCCCACAUUGGAACUGAGACACGGUCCAAACUCCUACGGGAGGCAGCAGUGAGGAAUAUUGGUCAAUGGGCGCUAGCCUGAACCAGCCAAGUAGCGUGAAGGAUGAAGGCUCUAUGGGUCGUAAACUUCUUUUAUAUAAGAAUAAAGUGCAGUAUGUAUACUGUUUUGUAUGUAUUAUAUGAAUAAGGAUCGGCUAACUCCGUGCCAGCAGCCGCGGUAAUACGGAGGAUCCGAGCGUUAUCCGGAUUUAUUGGGUUUAAAGGGAGCGUAGGUGGACUGGUAAGUCAGUUGUGAAAGUUUGCGGCUCAACCGUAAAAUUGCAGUUGAUACUGUCAGUCUUGAGUACAGUAGAGGUGGGCGGAAUUCGUGGUGUAGCGGUGAAAUGCUUAGAUAUCACGAAGAACUCCGAUUGCGAAGGCAGCUCACUGGACUGCAACUGACACUGAUGCUCGAAAGUGUGGGUAUCAAACAGGAUUAGAUACCCUGGUAGUCCACACAGUAAACGAUGAAUACUCGCUGUUUGCGAUAUACAGUAAGCGGCCAAGCGAAAGCAUUAAGUAUUCCACCUGGGGAGUACGCCGGCAACGGUGAAACUCAAAGGAAUUGACGGGGGCCCGCACAAGCGGAGGAACAUGUGGUUUAAUUCGAUGAUACGCGAGGAACCUUACCCGGGCUUAAAUUGCAGUGGAAUGAUGUGGAAACAUGUCAGUGAGCAAUCACCGCUGUGAAGGUGCUGCAUGGUUGUCGUCAGCUCGUGCCGUGAGGUGUCGGCUUAAGUGCCAUAACGAGCGCAACCCUUAUCUUUAGUUACUAACAGGUUAUGCUGAGGACUCUAGAGAGACUGCCGUCGUAAGAUGUGAGGAAGGUGGGGAUGACGUCAAAUCAGCACGGCCCUUACGUCCGGGGCUACACACGUGUUACAAUGGGGGGUACAGAAGGCAGCUAGCGGGUGACCGUAUGCUAAUCCCAAAAGCCUCUCUCAGUUCGGAUCGAAGUCUGCAACCCGACUUCGUGAAGCUGGAUUCGCUAGUAAUCGCGCAUCAGCCACGGCGCGGUGAAUACGUUCCCGGGCCUUGUACACACCGCCCGUCAAGCCAUUGGAGCCGGGGGUACCUGAAGUACGUAACCGCAAGGAUCGUCCUAGGGUA